rnacentral:rRNA from 1 species
CAGCCGCCGCGGGAAAACGGAGGGGGCUAGCGUUGUUCGGAAUCACUGGGCGUAAAGGGCGCGUAGGCGGCCUGUUAAGUCGGAUGUGAAAGCCCGGGGCUCAACCCCGGAACUGCAUCCGAGACUGGCAGGCUUGAGACCGGGAGAGGAGGGUGGAAUAUCCAGUGUAGAGGUGAAAUUCGUAGAUAUUGGAUGGAACACCGGUGGCGAAAGCGGCUCUCUGGCCCGGAUCUGACGCUGAGGCGCGAAAGCGUGGGGAGCAAACAGGAUUAGAGACCCCUGUAGUCCCUGUCUCUUAUAC